rnacentral:rRNA from 1 species
AUUGAACGCUGGCGGCAGGCCUAACACAUGCAAGUCGAACGGUAACAGGAAGACGCUUGCUUCUUUGCUGACGAGUGGCGGACGGGUGAGUAAUGUCUGGGAAACUGCCUGAUGGAGGGGGAUAACUACUGGAAACGGUAGCUAAUACCGCAUAACGUCGCAAGACCAAAGAGGGGGACCUUCGGGCCUCUUGCCAUCGGAUGUGCUCAGAUGGGAUUAGCUAGUAGGUGGGGUAACGGCUCACCUAGGCGACGAUCCCUAGCUGGUCUGAGAGGAUGACCAGCCACACUGGAACUGAGACACGGUCCAGACUCCUACGGGAGGCAGCAGUGGGGAAUAUUGCACAAUGGGCGCAAGCCUGAUGCAGCCAUGCCGCGUGUAUGAAGAAGGCCUUCGGGUUGUAAAGUACUUUCAGCGGGGAGGAAGGGAGUAAAGUUAAUACCUUUACUCAUUGACGUUACCCGCAGAAGAAGCACCGGCUAACUCCGUG